GGUUUGAUCACGAGGCCGGAAACCUCAAUGUUCUUUAUAUGUUCUUGAAUUUCCGGAUUGUCCUUCUAUCCGACGAUUGCUUGAUUCAACUUCUUCCAAGAACACAUCGACAUGAGAUUCAUAUCAAGUCAUCAGUUGAAGGCCCACACUGUGGACUGAUUCCUUUUGGUGCACCGUCAGCUAGGACCACCACUACAGGCUUGAAAUGGGAUCUCGCUG
rnacentral:misc_RNA from 1 species